AAACCAUGAUAAGAACAUUUUUGUUGCAAUUCUCGAUAGCGCCCCAGGCUUCAUACAAUGUUUCUCCUUCCUGUUGAGAGAAACUAGUUAUAUCCAUUUUGAGUUU